rnacentral:rRNA from 1 species
UGACCGCUAGCUACAGGCUUAACACGUGCAAGUCGAGGGGAAACGGCAUCGAAAGCUUGCUUUUGAUGGGCGUCGACCGGCGCACGGGUGAGUAACGCGUAUCCAACCUGCCCAUCACUUGGGAAUAACCUUGCGAAAGUAAGACUGAUGCCCAAUGACAUCCCACGAAGGCAUCCGAAUGGGAUUAAAGAUUUAUCGGUGAUGGAUGGGGAUGCGUCUGAUUAGCUUGUUGGCGGGGUGACGGCCCACCAAGGCAACGAUCAGUAGGGGUUCUGAGAGGAAGGUCCCCCACAUUGGAACUGAGACACGGUCCAAACUCCUACGGGAGGCAGCAGUGAGGAAUAUUGGUCAAUGGGCGAGAGCCUGAACCAGCCAAGUAGCGUGCAGGAUGACGGCCCUAUGGGUUGUAAACUGCUUUUAUAAGGGAAUAAAGUGGGUCACGUGUGACUUUUUGCAUGUACCUUAUGAAUAAGGACCGGCUAAUUCCGUG